rnacentral:rRNA from 1 species
UACGUAGGGUGCAAGCGUUAAUCGGAAUUACUGGGCGUAAAGCGUACGCAGGCGGCUAUGUAAGACAGGUGUGAAAUCCCCGGGCUCAACCUGGGAACUGCAUCCGAAACUGCCUUGCUAGAGUAUGGGAGAGGGAAGUGGAAUUUCCGGUGUAGCGGUGAAAUGCGUAGAUAUCAGGAGGAACACCGGUGGCGAAGGCGGGUCUCUGGGCCGAUACUGACGCUGAGGAGCGAAAGCGUGGGGAGCGAACAGG